GUUAAAAUAAUUUAAUUAAAAAUGUUGGUUUUGUAAACCAAUCUUGGAUUUUCCUUUUAAC
rnacentral:tRNA from 1 species